GUGACUGCGUACCUUUUGUAUAAUGGGUCAGCGACUUAUAUUCUGUAGCAAGGUUAACCGAAUAGGGGAGCCGGAGGGAAACCGAGUCUUAACCGGGCGUUAAGUUGCAGGGUAUAGACCCGAAACCCGGUGAUCUAGCCAUGGGCAGGUUGAAGGUUGGGUAACACUAACUGGAGGACCGAACCGACUAAUGUUGAAAAAUUAGCGGAUGACCUGUGGCUGGGGGUGAAAGGCCAAUCAAACCGGGAGAUAGCUGGUUCUCCCCGAAAGCUAUUUAGGUAGCGCCUCGUGAAUUCAUCUCCGGGGGUAGAGCACUGUUUCGGCUAGGGGGCCAUCCCGGCUUACCAACCCGAUGCAAACUGCGAAUACCGGAGAAUGUUAUCACGGGAGACACACGGCGGGUGCUAACGUCCGUCGUGAAGAGGGAAACAACCCAGACCGCCAGCUAAGGUCCCAAAGUCAUGGUUAAGUGGGAAACGAUGUGGGAAGGCCCAGACAGCCAGGAUGUUGGCUUAGAAGCAGCCAUCAUUUAAAGAAAGCGUAAUAGCUCACUGGUCGAGUCGGCCUGCGCGGAAGAUGUAACGGGGCUAAACCAUGCACCGAAGCUGCGGCAGCGACACUGUGUGUUGUUGGGUAGGGGAGCGUUCUGUAAGCCU
rnacentral:rRNA from 1 species